rnacentral:lncRNA from 1 species
CAGGAGAUGAUAGUUCCAAGAAGGAACAUUUUAUCGUCUUUGUUUUUAAUCUCAAGAAUGGUACCUACCAUCAGUGAAUGACCUGUUGCAGUGCUUUCAUUGAAGUGUUCUUCGUUCCCUCAGCAAUAUGAUUGUGAUGACUGAAAAAGGGAAACUGUGCCACUAUUUGUACCAUCAUUUUCACCAAAAUCUAAAAAUGCUUUUUAUGACGUAUGGAGACAUUCUUCAUGUUUGUUUCAGUGGACACUCCUUGCAGAUGUAAAAAACUGAGAAAACUCACUUUUGGAAAGUGACCUAAAGAGUGUCAUUGAAGUGAAUUUUAAGUAGGCACGAUGAUUGUUUUCAUGGUUGCUGUUGGAUCAUAUCUCAGGAGCUGGAAUGACAGACAUUAUUGAACAAAGAAAUCAGGAUAGUGGAACUUAAAGGGCUUCAUCUCAGUGCUUUCAUAAGUAUGAAGUGCAUAUAUUUAUAAUUUUCACUAAUCACAGGAAUAUUCCCUCUGUAUACUUGCAUUUUUUUCUAUCAAUUGACGCUUACAAUUAUUUUUGCAAGUUGGAAAAAAAUGCAGUAUUAAUUUCAUUUGCAACAAAUUUAAUAGAUUAAUUAGGAGAGAAUAGAUAUCUUUAAAAUUGAGUCUUCUGUCCAACUGCAAGUUAUAGCUGAGGUGGUACCAGUUUAAGAAGUGAGAACUUCUUCACUGACUGAAAUUUGCAUAUCAAUCCAAAUCAUUGUGCUUAUUUACUAUUUUUGUAGACGUCAUUCUUCAAAAGUGCUGCAUCUUCAAUAGUCAAGGAGGACAAAGACAUCUUUCCUGCAGGUGGUGACCAUGUGGAUAAUAGGAUCAUAGACAAAUGGUGGUUCCAUCUACAGCAUCACCGAAAUGCUGUUGUUACUGCUUCUUUCUGGGAUCUUCUUGCAUCUUUGCUUCUAAAGGGGCACACCUUUUAUAGAAGUACGUCCAGGAAUAGAAGUGACCUGCUUUUUCGCAAGUAAUUGCCUGGAAUGUUUUUAUGUACUUCUCUGCACUCUCAAUACAUUUCAUGCUUCCCUCUAUUUUUGUAUAUUAACUCAUUGUAUUUCUUAAAUUUAUAUUUUACUUUAUGAAUGGAAGUGAGAUUUGUGUAUGGUAAAUAUAAUUAAUUCAACCCCAUGGAUACGUUAGUCACUGUCCAGAUGAUGGCAAGUCUUUCUCAGAAGCAGAGGGCCUUGGUGUGCCAGUGAUUUUUUUUCCCCAUGUGUAAGAUACUUUUUUUCCUCAUUUGAAUCAGGAGCCCACAGUUUUUAGACAAGUCCCAAAUGAAAUCUUAAGCAUUUGUGUUAUCUGGACUAGACCUUCUGUAGUAUCCUUUUUGUUAGACCUAGUAUAUCUCAUUGCAGAUCAGGAUCUGAGAUUGACUAUAGUUCACCUCUUUCCAAGUACACAAACUUGGAUGACAUGACAACUGAGUGUGUAAGGGAGAGCGAGACCCUUGCACUGCCAUUUGAGCCCUUGUGAUCUCAUCUUGUAGAACAUGUUGUACAAUCAUUUUAUUGGUAUCAUUAGUGUUAUUUGGGGCUGGAAUAAAAAUCUCAGUGCACCAAAGAGAUUUCCCCUUUAUCCACGUUACCCUGGUUUUCCUUUGUUUUCUGUUUAACCUAAACGGGCUUAAUAUAAAAUAGUGCUUAUUUGGUGUUUUAAUUGUCUGCUUCUAUAACAUAAGCUGCACUGUCCAUUGGGGAACUGCUCACCAUAUUGCCCAACCUGUCUUGAUAGGUUUAUACAUGGGAGGCAUUCAGUAAUAUUAAUUACCUCUCUAGACCAGUGUUAGCAAUAACAAACACUUGCUAGAAUUUUAAGACUAUAUAAUCAAUCACUUUGAUGUCAGUUAAUCCUACCAACACAAGAUUAAAGGUUUAAAAAUCUCAUACGUGUACAGCCAUUAGUGUCUCCUUUCAUACUAUAUUAUUUUGUUCAUUGGCAGCUAGAUUUUUAGGUAGAACUUGUGUUCCUUUUUGCAAUGCUCAUUUAUUUUACCUGGACAGAAGGUGCUCUUCUGUCUCUUCUCCAAAGUUAAUUUAUCUCAUACUAUUUCUUGUGUUAAUAUUUUCCAAGUUCAGUAUGCUGUUCUGGUUAUAAGAAGAUCAGUGUCCUAAUCACACACUUUUACAUUAUAUGAAACAUCAUACAGAGUUUUGUAGUCUGUAUAACAAUACACAGAGGUAGCAAAAUUUGUAAAAGAGCAGACUAUAUAGUCCAUACUGUAGUAACUACUCAACAUUGCCAUUAUACGUGAAAUCGGCUAUAACCAAUUCAUAAACAAAUGAAUUUGGCCGUGUUCUAGUAAAACUUAUUUACAAAAACAUGUGUUAGGCCAGAUUUGGACCACAGGCUGUAGAUUUCUGACCUCUGGCUUACAGCAGAAGUUUAUUAUGAUCCUGGGGAAGGUGGAUAUACAUGGAAGGCAGAAGCGAGAAGAUGUAUUCCAUCCCAUGUCAUUUUUCUGAACCCUCAACGUAGGAAGUUAAACUAAAACAUGGGGCAGAAUCUGCUUUAAGCCUUUGAAUUCUUGGCUCUUAAAGCCAGGUUGAGGGUUAUGUGUUUUUAUUCUUUUAUAUCUCCUUUUCACUUAGGCUUGGCAACUAGUUCAUUGAAACAGAGCCAACAAGAAUGAGUGAGUCACUCAGUGAUAUGAAGCAAGCUGUGGUCAUUUAUCUACUACCUUCCAUACCUACUUCCUAGGUUUGAUAAGUAGUGUUUGUAGUGUAGUUGUCAGUAACUUUUCUCAGCUUACAUAAGUUUAUGUGGAAUUCAUUUACAAAUGUGUGAUUAUUACGAUAGAUGUUAUUUUAUAAAUUUCAAGGUUCUUUAAUACAGCAUGGACAUGUUUCUAAAUCAAUAAAUAUAGCUUACCCACAGACUUUUUAUGGGAUGUAAAGUAUGUAUUACAACAGGUAAAUCCAUUUCUCUGUUUUGGGAAAGCAGGUUAAUGUUUUGUUUGUUUUGUUGCUGCAUAUAAUGUUGCACUAUAUAUAUAUUCUAAUGCAGUUGGUCUCCUAAUUCUACAGGAUAAAUGUCUAGCUGUGGCAUUGUUGGAUCAUCAGUUUCGUUUCAGUUAGAUGCUGUGAAAUUGCUCUUGAAAAUGGUGUCCUCUGCCACCACAGAACGGUGUUGUAAUGGAAGUGCCAAUUUUCAUAAAAACUUGUGUGCAACAGGUAUUAAGAAUUUUUGAGGUCGGGCGCAGUAGCUCACGCCUGUAAUCCCAGCACUUUGGGAGGCCUAGGCAGGUGGAUCACCUGAGGUCAGGAGUUCCAGACCAGCCUGACCAACAUGGUGAAAUCCCAUCUCCACUAAAUACAAAAAAUUAGCUGGGCGUGGUGGCAUAUACCUGUAAUCCCAGCUACUUGGGAGGCUAAGACAGGAGAAUUGCUUGAACCCAGGAGGCGGAGGUUGCAGUGAGCCGAGAUUGCACCACUACACUCCAGCCUGGGUGAUGAGCGAAACUCCAUCUCAAAAAAAAAAAAAAGCUUUAAAUUUUUAGCCAAUCUAAUAGGUGAAAAUGGCAUUUUUAACAUAAGUCUGACUUAAACAAUUAAUGGCCGUGGCUAAAAGAAGAAUCAAAUAAUGAUGUGUGAUUUAUAAGAUAAGGAGGCAGUACCCCAUUUUUCCUCACUCUACCCAAAAAUCCUGUUUAUCUGAGCAAGAAAUCAUUAAUAUUUUCUAAAUCCGCUUGGAAGUUCAUAAACGCCCUAAGUAUACCUUAUACCAGCGUUUUUAUGACUUUGUAUUUUUGAAAUAAUUUUAGAUUCAGAAUCGCAAGAAUCAUGCAGAGCGACCUGAUUUACGCUUCACCUAGAUUGACUUUUUAUUCUGCAUCGUUGUGUUCUUCCCCCACUUCCUCUUCUUGCUCUCGCCUCCCUUUAUAUGUUUAUACAUAGCAUUAUCAUUUUAUGUACUAUUUGAAUGAUUUGCCGACAUUAUCUUCCUGUAACCCAAAACACUUCAACAUCUACUUUCUAAGAGCCUGAGCAUCUUAUAUUGACUUCGGUAAAAAUUUCAAAAUAAUGAAAUGUGUCAAUAGUAUAAAAGUAUAACAGUAUGCAGUCCAUAUUCACAUUUUACCCAUUUUUCCAGAGGUGUUCUUUAUAGCAGUUUCUUCCCUUCUACAACAUCCAGAAAAGGAUCUUCUAUUGCAUUCAAUUAUCAUGUCUCUUUAGUUUUGUUUAAUCUGAAACAGUUUCCUGGACUUUGAUCACAUCAGUGUUCUUAAAAAGUAAUAGCUAACAGAUUUAAGGAGAUACCUCAGAUUUUGAAUUUUGUGUUUCCUCAUGAAAAGGUUUAAGAUACUCAUUUUGAGCAGAAAUAAUUCAGUAUUCUCAGUCUUCCUUAGUGAAUCAUCUCAGGUGACAAAUAAUGUCACUUUGUCUCACUUUGAAUUACUUUGAUCUCUUGGUUCGAUUGGUGUCCACUGGACUUUUCCACUAUAGUUAACAUUCCUUCAUAAUUAAUUUGGAACUAUACAGGUAUUCUAUUUUUCAUCAAACUUCCACAUAGUAGGUUUAAUAUGCACAGGUGACUUUUACCUGAAUCAGUGUUGAUUAGAAAAAAAUCUGUUAUUGCUUAGAUGCAUUAUUUAGUAUCUUGUACUGUAAGGAAGAGUUUGUAUAUCAUGGCCUGUCAGAACAGUCCCGCAAUGUGUUUUAUGAACUGAAAAUUCUGAAAGAAUAAGGUAGUGAUUUAUAUGAGAAUACAGGGAAAGGGUUACCCAAAGAGUCUAAUGAAUUUAUGUCUAAACCAUAGAGUGGAAUGUGAGAGACACACAGAACUCCAGAGUUGUGAUGCAAAUACACUGCACAGUGGAAGGAGAAGAGGAAGUUUUUGGUAAUAGUGUUUCAUCUAAUGUAGCUCUGUAAUGUAUGUGUGCCUUCAUUAUUGGAAGAGUGUUCAACAGUUCACAGUUGAAUAGACUGAAGCAUGAUGCUGGAAUCUGGGUUCAGAUUCUAGAUCCGUAUCCUACAUAUCACCAAUGCUUGUUUCUCAAUUUUUGUUUGUCAUUACUUUAAGUCUCUUUAAUGCAUUAGAGUAUCCAAGGUUGACAGUGAAGGGACUGCAUUUGGGAGCUAUCUGAAGACAAAAACAGCUUUUUGAAGUUUCUUUCAUACGUCACCUUACAUGGCCUCUCGCAUUCUCUGUGGAGAAGUUUGUGUAGAUUAUUCAGACUACCGUGCAGUGACUGUGUUGUUUAAAACCUAUACAUAUCCAAACUCUGUUUUGUGUUCUCUAUAACUAGGGCAUUAGUCUCCCAAUAGUAAUCCUGCAUCUUAUGCUAUUUAAAGAAGGUUCCCAGAAUACAGACAUUCUUACUUUUGAACAAUGACUUGGGUAGAUUGAGGAAGUGGUUUUAAUAAUCACUUUGAUAUAUUUCAAAAUCUGGUUCAUUAUUGGUGAGGUGCAGGCCACCUGGUAUUAAUGAAAAUGUGUAAUUAGGAACCAGUGCAGUGGAAUCAGAGGCUUGAACAUGACCUAAGGCUUGGUCAAAAGUGGUGAUCUGAAUGUUCCCUGCUCUCUGUAUGUAACUUUGUACUUAGUCUUCAGUGGCAGGGUUGCAGCAGAGGCCCAGUAAAUAUUGUUCAUUCAACGUAUGAAGGAGAAAAUGGAAGUAAGGCCAAAAAUUACUGAUUGUAAACAAAUGAAGCACCAAGUGAAUAAAUGUACAAAUAGACAAGUAGCCAGUAGGAAAAAAAACAAUAAUUGUUACCUAAAGAAUGAAAACCAAGUGGAAAAGGCCGCCAGGGACAUUUUAAUAUGCAUAUUGUUGCUUUCACAUAUAAUACAGUAAGGGAGUAUCAGAAAACCUGAAUCUGCCUGACUAAAACAUACCCUGUUCCACAAAGCUAUAUAUAUGAGAGUAUUGAAGGUGGUUUAAUACCAAAUUCAAAAAUUCAGCCUCAGUGUAGCAAACUUUUAAAUUUUCCAUGAUAUAAAGUAAGUUUUAACCAACAAUGGAAGUCACAGCACUAAAGUACAUUACUAUUAUAUGAUUCUCUGAUGGUAAUAGAAACUGUGCUGCAGGACACGUUUUGAUUCAGGAAGAAAUGUGGAGUAACUCCACAGAGGAAUUCAUCCUUUCUAAGUUUAAAUCUGAACGGAACCCAUAUGCCCAUACCCUGAAGAUGCAUGUAAGGGAACAACAUGGCUUGGUCUGUUGAAAAAAGAAAAGAACCUUCAAUUAAGCAUUCUGUGAACUUGAUAAGAGGAUGCAGAGGAACGUAAAUGCACUCUGCAUAUCUGUGAUUGACCUUGGAACACAGUGAUUGCCCUCUAAAGAAUAGCCGAGUAAGUACUGUUAUCAUUCCACCGAUCAAAUUAGAGCCUCUUCCUUCCAGUGGGAGCAGAGUGACAUAGACCAAGGAAAGCCGAGGAGAAGAUUGUAGCCUUUUAUUUCUCCUUAUAUUUGUUGAGGUUCACUGCUGACUGAUAAACGAUUUGCACAAAAAAAUUCAGGCCUCUGACUCUUCUGGUAUUUGAUUUAUCUAGUAAAGUUAAUUCCAAGACAAAAGUACAGUUGGUUAAAAAUACCAGUCUCAUGUUUAUUUGAUGGUUUGAAAUAUUCUGUUACAUUGUUGUAUCUCGUUUGUCACCUUGGAAUAUAUGACAAUCAUGUUAUCUUGAUUUUUUCCACAAGAUAAUUUGAUUCUAAAAUCGAUUCAUUGUUUAUCUUCAGGAAUUAGAGAUUUUAAAAAUGUCAUCUCAUGUCUCAUUCAGUCAUUUCCAAGAUUUAGCGAGUGUUCUCCCUAAUGCCUUGGAUAAGAAUGCCUUGUUCAAUGGCUGUAUUUUACUCAUAAUUAGCAUUCCAACUGCUUUGGGUUUUUUUAGAUUUACA